UACAGAGGGUGCGAGCGUUAAUCGGAAUUACUGGGCGUAAAGGGCGCGUAGGCGGAUUAUUAAGUUAGAUGUGAAAUCCCUGGGCUUAACCUGGGAAUGGCAUUUAAUACUGGUGGUCUAGAGUAGAGUAGAGGGAAGUGGAAUUUCCGGUGUAGCGGUGAAAUGCGUAGAGAUCGGAAAGAACACCAGUGGCGAAGGCGGCCAUCUGGACCAGCACUGACGCUGAGGCACGAAAGCGUGGGGAGCAAACAGG
rnacentral:rRNA from 1 species